rnacentral:rRNA from 1 species
GACGAACGCUGGCGGCGUGCUUAACACAUGCAAGUCGAACGGAAAGGCCCUGCUCUUGUUGGUCGCUCGUGUGGCGAACGGGUGAGUAACACGCGUGUAACCUGCCCCUGUCUUUGGGAUAUAUUCAGGAAACAGGGGCUAAUAUCCGAGAGGAUCUCUUGAUCCAUGGUGUGGGUUGGAAAGUUUCGGCGGUUGGGGAUGGACUGGCGGCUUAUCAGCUUGUUGGUGGGGUAGUGGCAUACCAAGGUUUUGACGGGUAGCCGGCCUGGGAGGGUGACCGGGCACAAUGCGACUGAGAUACGGCCCAGACGCCUACGGGCGGCAGCAGUCGGGAGUAUUGCGCAGUAGGCGGGAGCGUGAUGCAGCAGCGCCGCGUGCGUGAUGACGGCCUACGGGUUGUAAACCGCUUUGGCCUGUGACGUGGCGUGAGUGACGGUAAUGGGUAAAGAAGCACCGGCUAACUACGUG